ensembl:lncRNA novel transcript
CCCUCCCCCCAAACACCCAACCGCGCAGCCCACGCUGCGGGGCCACGACUUGGCCGGAUUUAUGUUCAUGGCUGAGGAUGCCAUGGGCCGAGUAAGAAGGAGAACCGCCACCCAACCACGCAGCCAAGAGCAACCCAGGGAUCCCUCCUCUGCUUGCUCCCCUCCCCCACCCCUGCUGUACCUUCUGCGCAGCCAUCUCGGUAACGGGCGUCAGGGGCGCUCGGCGGCCUGCUGUCCAAGCUGGGGUCAGGAGCCUGGCGGUAGCAAAGAGCAUCACCGAAAGGAAGCUGGUAGGCUAGCGAGGCCAGCCCCAAAGACCCACAGAUACACGCGCUGCUCCGAACUCGCGGGCCCGCGGCGUCCACUAAUGAGAUGAACCUGGGCGCGCAGCGGCUGGACCUCAGCUGCUAGGGCGCCGCCAAGGCCCUGCUGGACACCUUCUGGUACCUGGGCCUCGUGUAUUACACCUGUGGCUGCCGCCGAGGCGCGGUUCAAUUUGAAGUCUGAGCCCCUACAGGCCCGUGAAUCCUGGAUUACAACUGCAGUUUGUGCAAGAAGCAGCAGCACCUGCACUUCCACUUAGCAACCUCCGGCUUCACGCUCCUCCAGGGCGCAGAGAGCAUCAAAGCAUUAUCACCGACCCAACACACACCGGCGCUGCGUAGUUUCUGCAGCAGGUGUGGGGUGAAGAGUUGCCACACAGCUGUCUGACACCGGGUGUACGGCGUCACCCCUCACUUCCUGGACAAGGCAACAUUUUCCUAAAGGUCAAAGGAGAAAAAUCCUAUCAUCUGAGGUGCUGAACAAAGAAUUCAAUAAAUUCAAUCAAUCUGAUGCACUCUGCAGUCGUUCUAAGUUCUUGUCUACUAAAAUCCUCGACUACUACACAUCCACAAUCGCUUCUGUGAAACUCUUGGGACCAAAUGGUUCAGAAUUUGUCUCCCAUACAUACAUAAUAUCUAUGUCAAGGCCUGUAGUAAUACUGUGGAAUCUAAUACAAUGAUAUUUCUGUAGUGAAACAUACAAAUGUUCACUCCAAGAUCUAAAGAUUACAAAUAGCAUCAUGUCAGUUCAAAUCAGGUUUUAUGGAUAAAUGAGUCAGGAAAAGUAUGUUUUUCAAAGCAUUUUGAAUGUUAGACUUGUGCACAAGGGAUUGUGAGUCUGAAUCAUAUUUCCGUCAACUCUUCUUGCCUUUCAUACAAUUUUUUUCUUUCUGUUAUCUUUUUUAUCAUUGAAAUACAACAUUUAGAUAGAAGAUUGUGCAAAUCAUAAGGGACAACAAGUUGAUGACUUUUUACAAAGUGAACACAUGCAUGUAACAACCAGUAAGACCAAAAUAUAGAACAUUACUGGCACCCCAGAAACUUAUGUUAUACCCCUACCUAGUCAUUACCCCUGAAAUUUAAGCACUAUUCUAACCUAUGUUACUAUAGAAUUGUUUUGCCGGCUUUUUAUACUUUAUACAAAUGGAAUUAUAAAUUAUGUAUAUUUUUAUGCCUGGUUUCUUUUGCUCAAUAUGAAUGCUUUUAAGAUCUGUACACUUUGUUGCAUGUAGGGAUAUUUGCUUGUUUCGUUCCUGAACAGUAUUCCAUUGUAUUAAUAUACCACAAUUUAUUCAUUCAACUGUUGAUAUAUAUUUAGGUUGUUUCUAGUUUGUGACUAUUUCCAAUAAUGCCACUGUGAACAUCCUUAUGUCUUUUGAAAAACAGGUUUAUGUAUCUCUGUUGGAUAUAUACUUGUGUGGUAAGCAGAAUUCUAAGGUGAUCUCCAAUGACUCUUGUCUUGGUAUAAUCUCUUCCCAUUGGGUGUAGGUGGAACCUGUAAAUAUGAUGAGAUCUUACUUUUAUGAUUAUAUUACUUCAUAUGGCAAAAAGGAUCUUGCAGAUAUAAUUAAGGUCACAAAUCAGUUGCCCUUAAAGUAGGUGAGGCAGACCUAAUCAGGUGAGCACUUACAAGGGCCCAGGUUUUUGCUGAGAGAUUCGAAGCAUGAGAGAGCAUUUGGAGGGGGCCACGUGACAAGGAACUGCAGGAGUCCUCUAGGUGAUGAGUUGCUGCCCCUUGUUGACAGCCAGCAAAAGAAUGGAGGGACCUCAGUACUACAGCUACAGGGCACUGGACUCAGCUGGCAACAUAGAUGAGUCUGCAAGGGCUUCUUCCCCAGAGAUCCAGAAAGGAACACAGGAAGUCCAAGAGCAUCUCACCCUGUGAGACCUUGAGCAGGGAAACCAGUCACAUGGUGCACAGACCUCUGACCUACACAACUGUGAGCUAAUAAAUGAGUGUUGGUGUAAGCUGCUAAGACUGUAGCAAUGUGUUUAACACCAACAGAAACCACUAUAGAUUUUGAUACCUGGAUGUGAGGUGUAGUCACUGUAAACACCUUAAAAUGUAGAUGUGGCUUUGGAACUGGAUAGUAAGCAAAGGCUGGAAGAAUUUUGAGAUGCAUGACAGGGAAAGCCUAAAUUCCCUUGGACAGACUGGUAGUAGACGUCAGCUGGAUAUCCAAACUGCUUUGGAACUCCUCUUUUCUGCCUUCUGUUUUCUCCUGUAUAAAAUAGAAUGUUUAUAGAUGUUAUCCUAUGCCCGUCCCAUCAUUGUAUGUGGUGGUGUUGGGGGAAGAUAGCUUGUCACUUUAGUGCUGAUGGUCCACAGUUGGAGAGGGAUUUUGCCCUAGGAGUUUUACUGGAUAGGAUCAUACCCAGGAAUCUCAUCCGUUCAUGAUUCAGAUGAUGAAAUUCAGAUGAGCUUUUGGAAUUGAGCUGAUGCCAUAAUACAAAGAAAUUUGGAGACUGUGGGAUGGAUUGAAUGUAUUUUAUACGUGGGAAAUACUGGAUCACUGAGGGCCAGAGGGCAGGCUGAGGCAGGCAGAAUUCUAAGAUGACCUCUAAUGACCUCUGGUCUUAUAUGAACUUCUCUUGAGUAUAAGAGCAGCCUGUGAAUAUGAUGAGAUACCACUCCUAUGAUAAUGUUACACAAUAUGGGGAAAGAGAUUUUGCAGAUGAAUUAUGCUCCCAGAUCAGUGAACCUCGAAAUAAGGAGGUUGACCUGUGUGGGCCAGACCUAAGUAAGUGAGCCCUUAAGAUGGCCUGAGCCCUUCCUGGGAGACUGGAAGUGUGCGAAGGAAUAUGUAGAGCUCUAUGUGGCAAAGAACUGCAUGAGGCCUCUAGGAGCUAAAAAUUGAACUGAAUUCUGCCAAUUACCUGAAUGAGUUUGGAAAUAUAUUCCUCCUCAGUCUCCAGAAAGAAACACAGACUCACUGACCAAUAGAACAGGCUGACUUCACCCUGUGAGACUUGAACAGAGUACUUGUAAACCUAUAGAACUGGGAGCUUAAAUAAAUGGCCAUUGUUUAAAGCCAUUAAAUUUGUGGUGAUUUGUUACUCAGGGAUAGAAAAGUAACAUAGAUGGAAUUUCUGGGUUAUAGAAAAUGCAUAAAUUCAGCUUUAAUAGGUACUCCCAAAUAGUUUUCCAAGGGUACUAAUUUACACUCCUACCGGCAGUUAGAGUUUCAGUUCCUCUAUAGCCUCCCCUGCUCUUUAUAUUGGUAGUCAUUCUAGCUAUUCUGGUAGAUGUUUGCUGAUGUCUUCUUGUGAUUUUAAUUUGCAUAUCUCUGAUGACUUAUUUUGGGAAGUCUUUGUUAUUUGUCAGUUUAAUAUCCUAUUUUGUGAAGUACCUGUUGAAAUAUUGUGCCAGUGUUUAACUGCAUUUACUUUUAUUCUUUAUUUUAUUCUGUACAUAAAACAUUUUCUGAAUGUGUGCGUGCAUGCGUGUUUAUUUGUAGUUAAUGUUUUCCUUUAUCGUUAGUGGUUUUUGUGUUGUGUUUUAGAUAUAAUUUACCCCAAGGUCAUCAAGAUAUGAUUGUAUCUUAUUUUCUAGAAGCUUUAUCUUUUUGAAUUCAUUUUGUGUAUGGCAUAAGUUAGGAGCCAAAGUUAUUUUUUUCUAUAUGGCUGGAUAUCCAAUUUGUCCAGUUCCACUUACUUAAAUGAUUAUCUUUCUCCCUGAGUACUGCAUUGGUAUCUUUGUUGUAAAUAAGGUGAUCAUAUGUGUGUGUCUGUUUGUGGACUCUCUUCUUGUCCUAUUGGUCUAUUUAUCUAUCUUUAUCUAAACAUAUAUAUCUUUAUUUAUCUAUUCCUGCGUAACAAAAUGUUACUGUACACAAAUCAUACUAUCUUAAUUAUGGCUUUUCUGACUGUGAAAGUUCUUCAAAUUCUUCUAGAUGGCUUUGGCUGUUCUUAGAUCUUUGAUAUCCAUUCAUAUUUUAGAAUCAGUUUGCUGGUUUACAUUUUCAAAUUAUCUGUUGAGAUUUUGAUUUGUAUUGCAUUGAAUACAUAGACUGUUUGGAUGAGAAUUUUCUCUGAUUUAAUUUUCAUAAUAUUCUAAUCUACAAACAUGACAUAUCUCUGAUUAACGUAGGGCUUCUUUAUUUAAGAAAUGUCAUGUUGAUUUCUGGACAAAGGUCUUAUGAAUUUUUUUAUUAGAUUUGUUCCUAGCUAUUUGAUAUUUUCUGAUGCUAUAGGAAAUGGCAAUUUUAAAAUUUCCUCUUUAUACUUUUUACUGCUAAUAUGUGGAAAUACAAUUCCAUUGUGUAAUAUUGACCUUAUGUCCACUGAUUACACCAAAUUCAUUUAUUCUAAUAUUUGAUAUAUAUUCUUUAAUUUUUAAGUGUAAAAAACAUGUUGUGUCUUUUAUUUUUUCAAGAGCUGAGAAACCUUUCCCCCCAAAACCUUAAAACACAAGCAUCCAUAUCUUAUUGACUGCAACUGGGAAAUGACUAUUCCCAAACCAGUCACUGGAGUGGUAGUGAGAUUACUAUGACCUGGUUAGUCAAUCACACUACUAUAUAUAUAUCCGCUACACUGUGUUAUAAAUCAAAUUUUCUUUAUUUUAACCACAUACGUAAAUAUUUAGACAUUAAUUUUAUUAGAAGUUUGAACAUCUCUGUUGGAUUGAUAAUUGUGGAAUAUUCCUCCAUCUAAAUGAGCUGAAAUUACAGAUCUUAAAUUUUAUAAAUUCUUAGCAAUCAGGCCAGGCCUGGUGGCUCAUGCCUGUAAUCCCAGCACUUUGGGAGGCCAAGGCAGACAGAUCACUUGAGCUCAGGCAUUCAAGAUCAGCCUGGCCAACAUGGUGAAACCCCAUCUUUACCAAAAAUACACAAAUUUAGCUGGGCAUGGUCGCACACGCCUGUAAUCCCAACUACUCGGGUGGCUGAGGCAGGAGAGUCACUUGAGAGGGGGAGGCUACAGUAAGCUGAGAUCACACCACUGUACUCCAGCCUAGGCUACGGAGUGAGACUUGGUCUCAUUUUAAAAAAAAAAUCACACCUGUAAUCUCAGCACUGGCAGAGGCAGGUGAUCACUUGAGGUCAGGAGUUCCAGAUAAGCCUGGCCAACAUAGUGAAACCAUGUCUCUACUAAAAUUACAAAAAUUAGCUGGGUAUGGUGGUACACACCUGUAAUCCCAGCUACUUGGGAGGCUGAGGCAGGAGAAUCACUUGAACCCAGGAGGCGGAGGUUGCAGUGAGCCGAGAUCACAUCACUGCACUCCAGCCUGGGCCAUAGAACGAGACUGUCUCAAAAAACAAACAAACAAUAAAUUAUUAAGCAAUGAGUAGUAUGCUUAAUAUGUGAAAAAUAUUUGUGGCUUAUUCAGGAAUAAUGAAUUUUUUAAAUGGCUUAGUUUAUUUCAAAAAUAUACUGUUGAUUAUAAAAUACAAAAAUAUCAGAAUAUUUAAUAUGUACAUAUAUCAGACUUUUAAACAUAGUUAUCAGUCACUGGUAAAAUUGCUUGUGAUUUAAAUUAUCUUAAACUUUUCUAAAUUAUCUAAAUUCCAUACUGCAAGGUUUGCCAAACUUCACACAACUGGCAUUUUGGACCAGAUAAUUCUGUGUUGUUGGAGGCUCUCCUGUGCAUUGAAGGGGUUGAGCAGCAUCCUUGAUGGCUAUAUACUAAAUGCUGGUAGAACUCCUCCUCCCCAAUUAUGGCACUCUUCAGACAUUUUAAAAUUUCCCCUGCAGGGCAAAAUUCCCCUAGCUGAGAACAACUGUACUAUGGUGAACAAAAUUUUAAUAACUAGGUAGAUGUAAAAAUAAACAGAUGUAAAUAUAGAUCAGUAGAUACAGUACAUCAUGGUUUUUUUUUUAAUCUCGUAGCCAUUUUCCUAUGGCAUUAAAAAUUUUUCAAAAACAUCCUGUAACAUCCUAUAUAAGUUUAUUCUCUAGGCAUCUAGCAUUCUACUGGAAAUUGGGUUGUUUCAGAUUUUUAAAAAUAAUUGACACUAUAAUAAUCACCUUUGAGCAUAUAACACUGUAAAGAUAUGAGUAUAUUUUUUAGAAUUAAUGCCUGGAGAGGAAUUAUGCAUUUCAUAUAAGACUUUUUAUAGGUAUCAUCAUAUCAUCAAAUUUUCAUCUUGGAAGGUGCUAUGAAUUUAUAAUUCUAUCCAGUAGUAUAUAUGAGAGCUUGUUUUGUUAUAAUAGCUUAAAACCUGUUUAAACAUAAUUCUUUUCAGAAAUACAGUAGCUAUAUUUGCUUAGUACAAGAGUGAUAUAUGCUCAUUGAAACCAUUCAGAAGAUGAAGUAUGAAAAGAACGAAAAACCACACUUUCAGAUUUUUUUAAUGAGUACAUAGAUACAUAUAUACUUUUAAAUGGAACAGAGGCAAAGAGAAAGGUGAGGAUAUUGAAGACAACAAUGGAGUUAAAAAGAGGGGCUUCUUUAAAGUUUGAGAUCUUGGAGGAUAGCAAAACAAUAAGUAGAAGACAUAUAUAUUCCUUUAAAGAGAGCAAGGGUAGAUAGCAUUUUAAUUAUUACUAAGUCAGGGACCACGACUAAGGCCCACGGAGAUUCAAGAAAGGAGGAAAACUCUCAGGGAAUAGAUUGAAAUGACUCCCAAGUGGAAAAGUGGAUCCAUAAAACUGGUGAAAGUUGGCCUACAGAACAAAGAGAAUAGCUAUAAGUGGGGUUCAUACCCCAAAAUUUCAACUAUACAGGGAACAGUGGUUAACAUGGUCAUAACAGAAUCACUGAUUCCCACCAUCUUCCUGAUCUUUUCAACUGAGCAAGUUUUCCCUGUUUCGGUAAGUGGCACCAUCAUCCAUAAAAAUAUAGGAUUCAUCAUUUACUGCUGUCCUUCCCUCAUGAUCUCACAGCCGUUCAAGUUUCCAGCAGAAGUCCCAGACAUCGAGGAACACAGACAAUCCAUCCCCACUAUGUACCGUCUGAAUUCUAGCUCUACAAAAUCCAUGGGAAUGUUAAAAUGGAUGUUGUUUCAUGACACUAAAUUGUGGAAUAAUGAUGAGCAGACAUAUUCUGUUCAUUUUUCUUCUUCACUUAUGUCUAUCCUGUAUUUUAUCAAUAUUUUGUUUUCCAUAUUCCAUUCUUAUUGAAUUCCUAUUCUAUCCUUCAUAAACUGUAUUCUAUAUUUCAUUCUAAAUUUCAUUCUAUUCCGGUAUUUAAAAAUCUAUACUGUUUAUUUCAUAGUCCAUUUAUUUCAGGCCAUUGCACAUUUUGUUCCGUUCUAUAUUCCUUCCAAUUUUGAUUUCCUUUUAUUUUCUUUAAUAUUUUAUUUCAUACUGUAUUGCACUCAUUCCUUUUCUCAUAUAUUUUUAUUUUAUUCCAUAUGACAUUAGAUAUUUCUUUCCAUUUUCUGUUCCAUUCCAUUUUCCAAUUAAAUUCCAUUAAAUUUCCAAUAUUCCAUUCCACAUCCUGUUCAAACCCGUAUUCUACUCCCCAUUUUAUUCCAGUUUCCAUUGCAGUCUCCAUUUCAUCCCAUCCUGCAUACCAUUUCAAAUCCAUUUUCCAUACUAUAUUAUUUAACACUCCAAAUACCAUUCCAUUCUAUUUUUGUGUUGCAUUUCAGCCCAAUUGUUCACCAAUUCCAUUAAAUAUCCGAUUUUAUUGUGCUCAAAAUGUUAUAACAGUGACAUUCAGGAGACUAGUUUGCCAAUAUUUUUAAUCAAAGAAUUACAAAUGUGGCUGGGCGCAGUGGCUCACGCCUGUAAUCCCAGCACUUUGGGAGGCCGAGGCGGGCAGAUCGCCUGAGGUCAGGAGUUUGAGACCAGCCUGGCCGACAUGGUGAAACCCUGCCUCUACUAAAAAUACAAAAAAUUAGCCGGCCAUGGGUGGCACGCGCCUGUAGUCCCAGCUAUUCGGGAGGCUGAGGCAGGAGAAUUGCUUGAACCCGGGAGGCAGAAGUUGCAGUGGGCCGAGAUCAUGCCACUGCACUCGAGCCUGGGUGACAGAGCCAGACCCCACCUCAAAAAUAAAUAAAUAAAUUAAUUAAGUAAUUAAAAUAAUUACAAAUGUUCAUAGACUUGUACCAAGAAUUUUCUCUUCUGGGAAUUUAUCCACAAUGACACAUUUAAGGAUAUGAACAAUUUUUAAUGAGAAGGAUGUGUCUCACAAUGAUGUAAAAUGUUGGAAACAGCAUAAACGGUGGCCAAUAUGGGAAUGUUUGAAAAUGUAAACUUCUUUUAUAAAUGGAGUAUUUUGUAAUUUAAAGUGGCCUCGUAGAAAUUUGUUUACUGACAUAGAAAAUGUGCUUUCUGGAACCCAAAGCAGGUUACAAUGCAGUAUCUAUGGAG